ACGAUUAUAUUUAGCGGCCGCGAUUCGCUCUUGUGCAGCAGCCGCGGUAAUUCAGUAAGAGAAGUAGCGUAUAUUUAAGUUGUUGCAGUUAAAAAGCCUUGUAGGUGAACCUUGGGCCUGGCUGGCCGGUCCGCCUCACCGCGUGCACUGGUCCGGCCGGGCCUUUCCCUCUGUGGAACCCCAUACCCUUCACUGGGCGUGGCGGGGAAACAGGACAUUUACUUUGAAAAAAUUAGAGUGCUCCAGGCAGGCCUAUGCUCGAAUACAUUAGCAUGGAAUAAUAAAGUAGGACGCGCGGUUCUAUUUUGUUGGUUUAUAGGACCGCCGUAAUGAUUAAUAGGGACAGUCGGGGGCAUCAGUAUUCAACUGUCAGAGGUGAAAUUCUUGGAUCAGUUGAAGACUAACUACUGCGAAAGCAUUUGCCAAGGAUGUUUUCAUUAAUCAGGAACGAAAGUUAGGGGAUCGAAGACGAUCAGAUACCGUCGUAGUCUUAACCAUAAACUAUGCCGACUAGGGAUCGGACGGUGUUAUUCAUGACCCGUUCGGCACCUUACGAGAAAUCAAAGUGCUUGGGCUCCAGGGGGAGUAUGGUCGCAAGGCUGAAACUUAAAGAAAUUGACGGAAGGGCACCACCAGGGGUGGAGCCUGCGGCUUAAUUUGACUCAUCACGGGAAACUCACCAGGUCCAGACACAUAAGGAUUGACAGAUUGAGAGCUCUUUCUUGAUUUUGUGGGUGGGGUGCAUGGCCGUUCUUAGUUGGUGGGUGGACUUGUCUGCUUAAUUGCGAUAACCGAACGAAGACCUUAACCCUGCUAAAUAAGCCCGCAUUGCUCCGGCAGGUGCGCUGGGCUUCUUAAGAGGGACUUUUCGAGCUCAUAGCCGAAAGAAGUUUGAAGGCAAAUAAACAGGGCCUGGGAUGGCCCCUAAAAUGUUCUGGGGGCGGAAGGUGCG
rnacentral:rRNA from 1 species